rnacentral:rRNA from 1 species
GAUGAACGCUGGCGGCGUGCCUAAUACAUGCAAGUCGAGCGAACAGACGAGGAGCUUGCUCCUCUGACGUUAGCGGCGGACGGGUGAGUAACACGUGGAUAACCUACCUAUAAGACUGGGACAACAUCGGGAAACCGGUGCUAAUACCGGAUAAUAUAUUGAAACGCAUGGUUCAAGAUUGAAAGACGCAUUUGCUGUACCCUAUAGUUAGAUCCGCGUCGCUUUACUAAGUUGGUAAGUUAACGGCCUACCAAGGCAACGAUGCUUACCCGACCUGAGAGGGUGUUCGGCCACACGGGAACGGAGACACGGUCCAGACUCCUCCGGAAGGCAGCAGAAGGGAAUCUUCCGCAAAGGGGGAAAGCCUGACGGAGCAACGCCGCGUGAGUAAUGAAGUUCUUCGAUUCGUAAAACUCUGUUAUAAGGGAGGAACAAAUGUAUAAGGAACAGUGCACGUAGUGACGGUAACUAAUCAGAAAGCCACGGCUAACUACGUG